rnacentral:misc_RNA from 1 species
AAGUCGUAACAAGGUUUCCGUAGGUGAACCUGCGGAAGGAUCAUUAAUAAUGAAGCCGGGCAACCGGUCCUUCUAACCCUUGAUUAUCUUAAUUUGUUGCUUUGGUGGGCCGCGCAAGCACCGGCUUAGGCUGGAUCGUGCCCGCCAGAGGACCCCAACUCUGUAUCAAAUAUUGUCUGAGUACUAUAAAAUAGUUAAAACUUUCAACAACGGAUCUCUUGGUUCUGGC